AUGUUUGCAACUGCCAAUGUGUCGGUAAGGUCAGCCGGAAUUGAUGCAACUGCUACUGCAGGAACCGAUCAGCCUCUCGAGUCUCAGAUUAUGCUUACUGCAUGUUCUGGGAAUGUAUCUAGUGAUGGAUUGCAUAACCAGCCAGAUAUGACGGAUACUCAAAACGAGGCUGUUGUUGAUGCUUCUAUGAAGAGGUGCGGUUCUUCUCUCAUCCGUAACUUGGAAAAGCAAUCUUCCAGGCGUCGCAAGAAAUUACGCCUACCUUCUCCGCCCAUGGCCACUGGUACAACUGUUUCUGACCAGCCGUCGUUGGAUGAUACACAUCGUUCUAUCAAGGCAAUAGUCAUCAAUGAGCUUGGCAUUGUAGGCCCUAAUAAGGGCACUAACUCAGUAAUUGCCAAUCCCACGCGGAAGAAGCAACAUCCUCGCAAGUGA
rnacentral:rRNA from 1 species